rnacentral:pre_miRNA from 1 species
AGUGUGAUUGCUGGAUCAUAUGGUAAGACUAUGUUUAGCUUUGUAAAAAACUGUCAAAAUAUCUUGCAAAGUGGCUGUACCAUUUUGUAUUCCCAUCAGCAAU